AUAGUUGGGGUGCUUUAUAGUGAUGGGGGGUUGGGUUUUGAAGGGAAUAAAAUAGUGUGAGGGAUGCAUAUGGCGUGAAGUAGACUCAACCAAAGUUGGAGCUACCCAAUAACAUGGUUUGUUUUCCUAUUCAAAAAGAGAGGGAGAAGGGGAGUGACAUCGAAUGGUGGACGGAAGGGGGUGGUGAGGACAAGUAGGGAACUGAGUUGCGUGUGGUCUGAAAUGCAGUGACAACCUUAACAUGAUCAGAGGCGGUGAAAAGUGAGCAACGAUGGCGAAUCAUGCCCCGUGUGUGCAGAACUAAAGCGGCGCUAGGGCUAAAAUCUAGUUGUGUGCCUAGUUUGAGCAAAGCUAUGCUAGGGGCUAAACGCCUAAACCUAAGUUAUCUCGAUUUUAUUCUAGCAACGUUAAAGUAGAGAUUAAUAUGCUAAAAUGAGUCAUUUUAGUUGGGACAAACCAAAAAUAAAAGUGAAUCAGUGGGCGAGAGGAGUAAUACAAUAACUUAUAUUUUAUCA